GCCGUAUAAAGAUGUAUUAGAUGCAAGACAAUCUAGCAUUUCCCUUUACGGCAUUGUAGUAAAAUUAGAAGUUCAAGCAAAAGAAAUUGUUGCCUGGUUAAUAAUCGAAACAAUUUGAGUUUGAAUGGAAGAGGUUAACCGUAUGACCUUGUGUUGAAAAACACUAAAAAUAAUCUUUAAAUAGCGAUUUCUGAAUCUUCGCUAUUUUGAGUUACGGUCAU
rnacentral:sRNA from 12 species